GAUGAAGAACGUAGCGAAAUGCGAUAAGUAAUGUGAAUUGCAGAAUUCAGUGAAUCAUCGAAUCUUUGAACGCACAUUGCGCCCCCUGGUAUUCCGGGGGGCAUGCCUGUUCGAGCGUCAUUUCACCACUCAAGCCUCGCUUGGUAUUGGGCAACGCGGUCCGCCGCGUGCCUCAAAUCGACCGGCUGGGUCUUCUGUCCCCUAAGCGUUGUGGAAACUAUUCGCUAAAGGGUGUUCGGGAGGCUACGCCGUAAAACAACCCCAUUUCUAAGGUUGACCUCGGAUCAGGUAGGGGUACCCGCUGAACUUAAGCAUAUCAAUAAGCGGAGGA
rnacentral:misc_RNA from 1 species